CCCUUAGACGUUCUGGGCCGCACGCGCGCUACACUGACCAGUGCAACAAGCAUCCGUCCUUGGCCGACAGGCCCGGGCAAUCUUUGAACGCUGGUCGUGAUGGGGAUAGACUUUUGCAAUUUUUGGUCUUCAACUAGGAAUUCCUAGUAAACGCAAGUCAUCAACUUGCAUUGAUUACGUCCCUGCCCUUUGUACACACCGCCCGUCGCACCUACCGAUUGAAUGGUCCGGUGAAGCCUCCGGAUUGGCGCGCACCUCGGUGCCGCCGAGAAGUUGGCUAAACCUUACCAUUUAGAGGAAGGUGAAGUCGUANCA
rnacentral:rRNA from 1 species